UACAGUGGGCGCAAGCGUUAAUCGGAAUUACUGGGCGUAAAGCGUGCGUAGACGGUUACAUAAGUCGGGUGUGAAAGCCCCGGGCUCAACCUGGGAAUUGCAUUCGAGACUGCGUAGCUAGGGUGCGGAAGAGGGAAGCGGAAUUUCCGGUGUAGCGGUGAAAUGCGUAGAUAUCGGAAGGAACACCAGUGGCGAAAGCGGCUUCCUGGUCCAGCACCGACGUUCAGGCACGAAAGCGUGGGGAGCAAACAGG
rnacentral:rRNA from 1 species